rnacentral:rRNA from 1 species
AGUGAACGCUGGCGGUAGGCCUAACACAUGCAAGUCGAACGGCAGCACAGGAGAGCUUGCUCUCUGGGUGGCGAGUGGCGGACGGGUGAGGAAUACAUCGGAAUCUACUCUGUCGGGGGGGAUAACGUAGGGAAACUUACGCUAAUACCGCAUACGACCUACGGGUGAAAGCCGGGGACCUUCGGGCCUUGCGCGAUUGAAUGAGCAGAUGUCGGAUUAGCUAGUUGGCGGGGUAAAGGCCAACCAAGGGGACGAUCCGUAGCUGGUCUGAGAGGAUGAUCAGCCACACUGGAACUGUGACACGGUCCAGACUCCUACGGGAGGCAGCAGUGGGGAAUAUUGGACAAUGGGCGCAAGCCUGAUCCAGCCAUACCGCGUGGGUGAAGAAGGCCUUCGGGUUGUAAAGCCCUUUUGUUGGGAAAGAAAUCCAGCUGGCUAAUACCCGGUUGGGAUGACGGUACCCAAAGAAUAAGCACCGGCUAACUUCGUGCCAGCCGCCGCGGUAA